rnacentral:rRNA from 1 species
AGGAUGAACGCUGGCGGCGUGCCUAACACAUGCAAGUCGAACGUCCUGUCUCGCAAGAGGCAGGGAGUGGCGGACGGGUGAGUACCACGUGGGUCAUCUACCGUGAGGUGAGGAAUACCGGCGAGAAAUCGCCGACAAGACCGCAUAGGCUCGAUGCAAGUCGAGCAAAGCUCUUUCGAGAGAGGGAGCGCCACACGAGGAGCCUGCGCCCGAUUAGCUAGCUGGUGGAGUAACGGUUCACCAGGGCGACGAUCGGUAGCUGGUCUGAGAGGACGAUCAGCCACACUGGGAUUGAGAACGGCCCAGACUCCUACGGGGGGCAGCAGUGAGGAAUUUUCGCAAUGGGGGCAACCCUGAACGAGCAACGCCGCGUGCAGGAGAAGGUUUUCGGAUCGUAAACUGCUUUUCUCGGGGAAGAGAACGGACGGUACCCGAGGAAUCAGCCCCGGCUAACUACGUGCCAGCAGCCGC